rnacentral:lncRNA from 1 species
UUUAUGAUAUGAAAGGAGAGGAAGCGAAGUCGCCUAAUAAGAAAAAUAGAUUUUGAAGACGCCCACUGCAAUGUCAGGCAAGAAUACGUUCCUUCAACUAAUGAUUCGAAGCAUUUUAUUUUGUGUAUGCUUUUUUAUUGAUUUCAAGCGCAGACUCAUGAAGGAGAGUCACUUCAUUGGAUCACAAAAUUUAUCACUUUAUCAGCACUUUUUAAUUGGAGCAACCUCUCUUCUUCCUCCACUUCUCACCACUUGUGCUUUGUUUUUUAAUUUGGAAAAAUAUGACCAUUGAUAGUGGACGCCAGCAGAGAUGGCUCAAGCUAUAUGGACUAUGGUGACCCGCAGGCUUGUGCAGUUAUGCAUCGGCUGAAAAGUAAAAAUGCUAAUUCAAUUCAUUUGUGCUAAACAUUUGCUUCCAAGGGAGAUUUUUAGCUGGGUAAAUUUCGGAUUAUCUUCUUAGGAAUUAAUUACUUUUAAAUUAUUCCUUUAUUUUUGAAAACUUUAAAUUAGUCCCAAAAUCUAUUAAAUUUAAUUGUUGGCUGACUAAUUAAAAUACAAUAAUACCCCUUCUAUUGAAUAUGUUAACUUAGUUUGUUACAUAUAUUAUUAGAGACAUAUAUCCUUGUUUUUCCAGUGCAAUAUAAAGAAAAAAAUAGCAUAUAUCAUCCAUUUUUUCUAAACUAACAGAUUGAUAACUAUGUUUAGGGAUAACUUGAGAUUUUAACAAAUGUGGAGGUAAUUUAAAGAUAAUCAAUUCAUGAAGAAUAUAAUCUAAAUUUUACCCUUUUCAGAUUAACGAGCAAGCAAGAAUGCAGAAUUUUUCUGUAUAUCGUACAGAUGGAAUUUACACCGAGUGAGUGGAAAAGAUUUGCGGUCCUUUUAUAU